CCGCAAUGGGCGAGAGCCUGACGGAGCAAUACCGCGUGAGGUAAGACGGCCUAUGGGUUGUAAACCUCUUUUUUCAGGGAGGAAUAAAUGACGUGUACCUGAAGAAUAAGCAUCGGCUAACUCCGUGCCAGCAGCCGCGGUAAGACGGAGGAUGCAAGUGUUAUCCGGAAUCACUGGGCGUAAAGCGUCUGUAGGUGGUUGUUUAAGUCAACUGUUAAAUCUUGAGGCUCAACCUCAAAAUCGCAGUCGAAACUAUUCAACUAGAGUAUAGUAGGGGUAAAGGGAAUUUCCAGUGGAGCGGUGAAAUGCGUAGAUAUUGGAAAGAACACCGAUGGCGAAGGCACUUUACUGGGCUAUUACUAACACUCAGAGACGAAAGCUAGGGUAGCAAAUGGGAUUAGAUACCCCAGUAGUCCUAGCUGUAAACAAUGGAUACUAGAUGUUGAACAGAUCGACCUGUGCAGUAUCAAAGCUAACGCGUUAAGUAUCCCGCCUGGGAAGUAUGCUCGCAAGAGUG
rnacentral:rRNA from 1 species